UCCGUAGGGUGCAAGCGUUAAUCGGAAUUACUGGGCGUAAAGCGUGCGCAGGCGGUUUUGUAAGACAGGUGUGAAAUCCCCGGGCUUAACCUGGGAACUGCAUUUGUGACUGCAUAGCUAGAGUACGGCAGAGGGGGAUGGAAUUCCGCGUGUAGCAGUGAAAUGCGUAGAUAUGCGGAGGAACACCGAUGGCGAAGGCAAUCCCCUGGGCCUGUACUGACGCUCAUGCACGAAAGCGGGGGGAGCAAACAGG
rnacentral:rRNA from 1 species